AGAGUUUGAUCAUGGCUCAGAACGAACGCUGGCGGCGUGGAUAAGACAUGCAAGUCGAACGAGACUUUUUCUGGUAGCAAUACCGGGAAAAGUUUAGUGGCGAACGGGUGCGUAACACGUGGGCAAUUUGCCUUAAAGUGGGGGAUAGCUCGGCGAAAGCCGAAUUAAUACCGCAUGUGAUCAGCUGAGACAUCUUAGCGACAUCAAAGCCGGGGCAACCUGGCGCUUUUAGAGGAGCCCGCGGCCUAUCAGCUAGUUGGUGAGGUAACGGCUCACCAAGGCUAUGACGGGUAGCUGGUCUGAGAGGACGACCAGCCACACUGGAACUGAGACACGGUCCAGACACCUACGGGUGGCAGCAGUCGAGAAUUUUUCUCAAUGGGGGAAACCCUGAAGGAGCGACGCCGCGUGGAGGAUGAAGGCUUUCGGGUUGUAAACUCCUGUCAUUUGGGAACAAGGUGCACCGGUUAACUGCCGGAGUAUUGAUAGUACCAGAAGAGGAAGAGACGGCUAACUCUGUGCCAGCAGCCGCGGUAAUACAGAGGUCUCAAGCGUUGUUCGGAUUCAUUGGGCGUAAAGGGUGCGUAGGUGGCGCGCUAAGUCAGGUGUGAAAUUUCGGAGCUUAACUCCGAAACUGCAUUUGAUACUGGUGUGCUUGAGGACUGGAGAGGAGACUGGAAUUCAUGGUGUAGCAGUGAAAUGCGUAGAGAUCAUGAGGAAGACCAGUGGCGAAGGCGGGUCUCUGGACAGUUCCUGACACUGAGGCACGAAGGCCAGGGGAGCAAACGGGAUUAGAUACCCCCGUAGUCC
rnacentral:rRNA from 1 species